UACGAAGGGGGCUAGCGUUGCUCGGAAUCACUGGGCGUAAAGGGUGCGUAGGCGGGUCUUUAAGUCAGGGGUGAAAUCCUGGAGCUCAACUCCAGAACUGCCUUUGAUACUGAAGAUCUUGAGUUCGGGAGAGGUGAGUGGAACUGCGAGUGUAGAUGUGAAAUUCGUAGAUAUUCGCAAGAACACCAGUGGCGAAGGCGGCUCACUGGCCCGAUACUGACGCUGAGGCACGAAAGCGUGGGGAGCAAACAGG
rnacentral:rRNA from 1 species